rnacentral:lncRNA from 1 species
GAUAUCAUUGUCGUUCAAGAAUAUUGUUAAGUGAUGCUGUAAACACGAAAUUUUCCUGAAACGAAAGAGACAAGAACAACGUGUACAAAAUAAUAUUUGUAUUUGAUGAUUUUGGGUUACAAUCUCUCUCAAAUUUGAUCAUCUGAUUCGAUCUCCGUAAGGUAUUGAUUUGUGGAUGUUUCGUUGAUCCAAGGGCCGU